rnacentral:sRNA from 1 species
UUGUCGGCUACAAGUCACAGAUACAGGUUCUUCAUCAUCACC